GGCCUGGUAGUGUAAGGGUAUCAUACUUGCUUUGGGAAAUCCGAAAGCUUGCAAGUGACCCCGGUUCGACUCCGGGCCAGGCCC